GAUGGAUUGGCAGCAUUUACAGUUAUUUUCUCCGUGCUAGGAUGGCUCUUAGAAAGGGCAAGAGCAGCCUGGAGGAAGCUGUGCUCCCAAUCCCACUGAGUACAGCAGUGAUGUUGUCACUGCUGGUUGUCAUUUGAAUGUCGCUGUGCCACGGGAAGAGACACUCCAUGGGAAGGAUCUGAAUUCUCCUGAGCAGCAGCAUCUGAGACUUCACAUCACAUCUCGCUCCUCAUCCACCAAAGUGCUCCUGCAGGCAGCAAAUUGGCACUUUGCAAGUGAAUACAGAAGGUGAAAUGUGGAUGGUGUCAGCAAAAGGUACUUGAGUGAGCAAUUCAGAGCUGUGGGAUGUACCAGGUCAGAAAAUGGUACUAUCUAUGACACUCCAGUGUGCUUUAAAGCCCUCCAAUUAACUGCACUCUUUGAGGUUGGGCAGCUGACACGACGCUCACAAACCCCAGGAAUCCCAAAGCUCGAGCAUCACUUCCCGUGGGUGUUUCUAAAGGGGGAGAAGACACUGAACACUUUCAUUUUCCGUGUAAAUAUUGGCACCCCUACAUGCCCAAAGAAGGAUUCUGAGAGCCCCUGAGUUUCUAAACACCAGGAGGGAGGAAAGUGCAGACCACAGUC